rnacentral:rRNA from 1 species
UGAGUAACCUGCCCUUCACUCUGGGAUAACUCCGGGAAACCGGGGCUAAUACUGGAUAUGACUCGAACAGGCAUCUGUUUCGGGUGGAAAGAUUUAUUGGUGGAGGAUGGACUCGCGGCCUAUCAGCUUGUUGGUGAGGUAAUGGCUCACCAAGGCGACGACGGGUAGCCGGCCUGAGAGGGCGAUCGGCCACACGUGGGACUGAGACACGGCCCAGACCUCCGUACGGGAGCA